rnacentral:rRNA from 1 species
UACGGGGGGUCCUAGCGUUGUUCGGAAUCACUGGGCGUAAAGCGUUUGUAGGUGGCUUUGUAAGUUGAAUGUGAAAGCCCAGGGCCUAACCCUGGAAGUGCAUUCAAUACUGCGGAGCUUGAGUAUGAGAGAGGAAGGUGGAAUACCUGGUGUAGUGGUGAAAUACGUAGAUAUCAGGUGGAACAUCGGCGGCGAAAGCGGCCUUCUGGCUUAAUACUGACACUGAAAAACGAAAGCGUGGGGAUCAAACAGG